rnacentral:tRNA from 1 species
UGGGCUAUAGCCAAGCGGUAAGGCAACGGACUUUGACUCCGUCCCUCGUUGGUUCGAAUCCAGCUAGCCCAGCCA